UUGCCAACUUUCCAUGAGCCUCUCCCUGCAUGAGAAGAGACUGGGAUGUUGUAGGAGGCACCCUAUGUCCUCUGGAAAGAGUUGCUACGGGCAUGGGGAUUUUUGUUUGUUGGCUAUUUGAGCACGGAGGUGGAACAAGAAAGGCAGGAGGAGAAGUAAAGGCAGGAAAGGGUGGCACAUACAUCAGCAAAACAAAAGAUUUCCAGAAACCAAAACAGAUUUCAGCUUACUUCACUGUCUAGGACUCCAUCACAUGAACUCCUCUGUUCUAUGACCGUCCUAUUACAUGGCUAAAAAUAAAAGAUUCCCAAAUUUCCAUGGAAGCGGCUGUUGGAAUCAAUGUGCUGGGGUUCUAAGCCUAAGACUCAAUUAUUAUGGUGCAGGUGAAAGCUGUAUAUUGAUCCAGCUGACGUGAAAUGAAAGUCAAUGUGAACACCUAUAGCCAAAACACACCUGAAGGAAAAAUAACAAGGAUCCGACUUUUAUUUGUGUGUGUGUAUUUUGCUUUCCUAUCUGCAGUCCUAGCCCCAGGGAUCCUGCCCCUUGGGAGAACAGAUUUUGUUUCAUGCAGUCAGAGGGAUUGCUAGCCAUUUUCUAAAAUGUAAACCAUGGUUUAUAUUCAUAGAUCACAGGUUUGAAAAUACAGUAAAAUUUGCUGAAGCUAUUUGUAAAGAAAAAUGUAUCAUUUCUUUUUUUAUAUUGUCCCAAG
rnacentral:lncRNA from 1 species